CAGCCUGGCCAGGACCUACUUCAGGUGCUCCACCACGGGCUACAUCCCCAGCCCUGUUUCAGUGCUUUCUUUUGAAAGCACCAGGUUGCCCAGGCUGGUCUUGAACUCCCUCUAGAACCUAGCAGGCCUUCAAUUUUCAGUCCUCCCAGAUGAGCCUCUCCAGCAGCAGGGACAAGAGGCUUGCACCACCAGCCUUGGCUGACAGACAACUUCCUUGAAACCAGCCCCCCACCCCCCUCACACACCCCCUCUCACCUCUGACCUGCUGGUUGCAUCCUCCCCAUACUCGGGUUUCAAGGUUUCAGGUCUCGCUCACUAAAGCCAUGAAGCUUGAAUCUGAAGCUCUUACUAAGACUACAAAGAAUUAGCCCAGGGCUUUCAGGGUUCCUCCACACAGGCCUGCAUUCACCCUGAGGAAGCCAACAGAGUUGUACUCCUUCAUGCACAAGCCUGGCUCCUGAGGCAGACCAGAGAGGUCCAGUGCAAAGCACAUACUGUCUUUUGGUCCCCAUCAACACUUUCACCUCAUCAGCUCUUUUCAGAGGCCAGGAAAUGCAUCUGUGGCUGGGAGAGGACUGUGUCACAUAACUAAUAGGAGGCCAACGUGGGUUCAGAUAACAGCGCUCUGGCUGCGUAACCUCUAGUGGAUAUCCUGGCUUCGCUGAACCUGUUUCUUCAGCUACCUUGUGGAGUGCUGAGGAAGUCCAGUCCCUCUCCCGGUAACAAUCUGAAGACAAGUAUCGUGUUCCCACACUCUCAACUCUCCCCCGACACCAGGACCACAGAGCACAAGGCACCCCAGGCUCGCCUCUUAACUAGCUGUGUGAAUUAAACAAGUCUUUCUUUC